UUUUUUUGAUAAGCAAUAUUUGGAUUAGAAUGAGUACAAGGGGUACUCAACCCUUACAAUCCAAAAACAAUCACCUUAAAUACAACGAAAACAAGUUAAGGGGUUGUUACACCAGUCAAGGAAAGCUACAUUAUCAAUGUUCCUUGAUCUACCGAUGAACCAAAACCAAGCAAUAUAAAUAAUUUGAUCUACUAAAGAUGAAACAUUAACAAAAUCUCCUCUAAAUAUAAUAUUAUUUCGCAUACGCCAAAUACUCCAAGUUGUGACCAACCAAAUAA
rnacentral:lncRNA from 1 species